rnacentral:rRNA from 1 species
AACAAACGCUGGCGGCGUGCCUAACACAUGCAAGUCGGACGCGAAAGGGCUUUCGGGCCUGAGUAAAGUGGCGCACGGGUGAGUAACGCGUGGGUAAUCUGCCUCUAAGUUGGGAAUAACUCAUCGAAAGGUGGGCUAAUACCGAAUAAUGCUGCUUCACUGUGGUGAAGUAGCCAAAGAUGGCCUCUGCUUGCAUGCUAUCGCUAAGAGAUGAGCCCGCGUACCAUUAGCUAGUUGGUAGGGUAACGCCUACCAAGGCUACGAUGGUUAGCUGAUCUGAGAGGAUGAUCAGCCACACUGGAACUGAGACACGGUCCAGACCUCCGUACGGGUGCUG